rnacentral:rRNA from 1 species
AUUGAACGCUGGCGGCAUGCCUUACACAUGCAAGUCGAACGGUAACGGGCCUUCGGGUGCCGACGAGUGGCGAACGGGUGAGUAAUACAUCGGAACGUGCCCGAUCGUGGGGGAUAACGAGGCGAAAGCUUUGCUAAUACCGCAUACGAUCUACGGAUGAAAGCAGGGGACCGCAAGGCCUUGCGCGGACGGAGCGGCCGAUGGCAGAUUAGGUUGUUGGUGGGAUAAAAGCUUACCAAGCCGACGAUCUGUAGCUGGUCUGAGAGGAUGAUCAGCCACCCUGGGACUGAGACACGGCCCAGAAUCCUACGGGAGGCAGCAGUGGGGAAUUUUGGACAAUGGGCGCAAGCCUGAUCCAGCCAUGCCGCGUGCAGGAUGAAGGCCUUCGGGUUGUAAACUGCUUUUGUACGGAACGAGAAGCCUUCUUCUAAUACAGGAGGGUCAUGACGGUACCGUAAGAAUAAGCACCGGCUAACUACGUGCCAGCAGCCGCCGUAA